UGGUGGAGCGAUUUGUCUGGUUAAUUCCGAUAACGAACGAGACUCUAGCCUAUUAAAUAGUUCGCCGAUGUCCAAGCGUCGGCGGCAACUUCUUAGAGGGACAGGUGUCGUAUAGGCACACGAGUUUGAGGCAAUAACA
rnacentral:rRNA from 1 species